UACGUAGGGGGCAAGCGUUGUCCGGAUUUAUUGGGCGUAAAGAGCGUGUAGGCGGUUUUACAGGUCCGCUGUGAAAACUCGAGGCUCAACCUCGAGCUGUCGGUUGAAACCGUCUGGCUAGAGUCCGGAAGAGGAGAGUGGAAUUCCCGGUGUAGCGGUGAAAUGCGCAGAUAUCGGGAAGAACACCCGUGGCGAAGGCGGCUCUCUGGGACGGUACUGACGCUGAGACGCGAAAGCGUGGGGAGCGAACAGG
rnacentral:rRNA from 1 species